UUCUUCUGACUCCAAGCCCAUCAUCUCAGGAUUGUACCCAAGUGGCUCUUGCACCAGUAUCAGCGCCAAUGGCAGGGUCAGCAGAAAAUAGCAGAGGGGCCUGAAAACAGAUGGGAACAUCUGGAAAAGAUUCAUAAUCCACUUAGGAAAAAGGAGGGGGGAUGCACGGAGUUAGCACAUAUUAAGUGCCUGCUGUAGUCAAGCCCUGUUGGACACCAGGGACAUCUGGACCUUGACAACGGAGCGAAGGGGUGGUCCUGCCUGCACCAGGCUUCAGUGGCUUCUCAGGCUUCUCUGCAGCAUGGGUGUUCCUGCCUUGGCCAGAGCCGAAAUCCCAGAGCAGUGAAAGAGGA
rnacentral:misc_RNA from 1 species